rnacentral:misc_RNA from 1 species
AAGUCGUAACAAGGUAUUCGUAGGUGAACCUGCGGAUGGAUCAUUAACAGUAUUUAUACUAACUAACACUUGUGAACUGUAUAUGAGCUCACGCUCUCACUUUAUUAUACUUUAGACUGAACUUUGAUAUAUAACAAUUUAUAAAACUUUUAGCAACGGAUCUCUGGGCUUUCGCAUCGAAGAACGCAG